AAAAUAAAAAUUAAUAAUAUAAAGUAUAAUAAAAGUAAUUUUAAUAUUAAAAUAAAUAAUGGGGGUUAAAGUAUUUUAAUAGAAAAAAUUAUAAAAUUUAUAGAAAAUUAGUAUAGUAAAAGAAAUUUGAAAUAAAUGAAAUAAUAAUUUUUUAAAAAGUAAAUUUUAAUUAUUGUAUCUUGUGUAUCAGAGUUUAUUAAAUAAAGUUUUUGGAUAAUAAUAUCUCGAAUUUAAAAGAGUUAAUUAAUUAAUAAAGUUAAUGUAAAAUAAUUAUUUUAAAUAAUUAAUUUGAAAUGAAAUGUUAAUCGUUUUUAAAUAUAUCUAGUUAUUUUAGAAAAAAGUUUAAUUUUAAAUUUAUUGAUUUUAAAGUAUUAAUUUAUUAAUAUAAAAAAAAAUAAAUUUUAUAAUUUAAGGGAUAAGCUUUAAAUUAAAUAAUUAUAAUAAAAUUAAUAAAAAAAAAAUAAAAUUUUUAAAAUUUAUAUUGUUUAAAAAUUAUAAUUUAUUAUAAAAAAUUUUAAUAAAAAUAAAAUUUAAAUUAAAUUUAAUUUUUUAUAAAAAUAUAUAUUUUUAAUUAAAUAAAAUUAGAAAAAAUGAUAAAAUUAGUAUAUAAAUUAUAAUAAAAGUAAAAAUAAAUAAUAAAUAAUUAAAAGGAAUUCGGCAAAAUUUAUAUUCACCUGUUUAACAAAAACAUGUCUUUUUGAUGAAUAAUUUAAAGUCUAAUCUGCCCACUGAUUUUAUAUUAAAGGGCUGCAGUAUUUUGACUGUACAAAGGUAGCAUAAUCAUUAGUCUUUUAAUUGGAGACUUGUAUGAAAGAUUUGAUGAAAUAUAAACUGUCUCUUAAUUAUUUAUAGAACUUAAUUUUUUAGUUAAAAAGCUAAAAUUUAAUUAAAAGACGAGAAGACCCUAUAGAGUUUUAUAAUUAUUUAUUUUAUAUAUUUAUAUAAAAUUUUAAUGUUUAAAAUAAAUAAUUAUUAUAUUGGGGUGAUAAAAAAAUUAAUAAAACUUUUUUUAAAAAUAAACAAAAAUAAUUGAAUAAAUGAUCCAUAAAUAAUGAUUAAAAGAAAAAAUUACCUUAGGGAUAACAGCGUAAUAUUUUUUUUUAGUACAAAUAAAAAAAAAAGUUUGCGACCUCGAUGUUGGAUUAAGAUAAAAUUUAAAUGCAAAAGUUUAAAAUUUUGAUCUGUUCGAUCAUUAAAAUCUUACAUGAUCUGAGUUCAAACCGGUGUAAGCCAGGUUGGUUUCUAUCUUUAGAAAAAUGAAAUAUUUUA
rnacentral:rRNA from 1 species